CCUCCCAAAGUGCUGGGGUUACAGGCAUGAGCAACCGUGCCCGUCCCCCAGAAUUUCAAAUCUCUACCUCUCCCUUGCUAAGAGCCAUUUGCUCAUUUCUGUAUUUCUUGUAUAACAGGAUAGUUCCUCUUUAAAAUUAUGUAUUUAACCAAUUUUAUUGAGAAAAGAUGAUAAAAGCAUUAAAACAAGGAAAGCAAAGUGGAAAACAGAUGUCUUUUUUUUACAGUAUGGGUGCAUCUUAUUCUAAGAGUCUCAUCAAACUGCUUCUGGGGAGUUUCUACAGGUUCGCCAGUUGGUGAUUGAUAAGUUGUCGUCUAUUGGAGGAUUUACCUGUAUAAUAAAGUUCAUUCUUCAUUCCAUAACAGCCAUGGAUGCACUUGAGGUAAUUUCUGAGCUUCGGGAGAAGUUGGAUCUGCAACAUUGUGUUUUGCCAUGACGGUUACAGGCUUCCCAAGUAAAAUAGAAAAGUAAAGGACGAGCAAGGAAAUCAAGAAAGCAGCAGUCAGAGCUACAUUAUUCUCCUUUUUGAUGUAAUAAAGUCAGCUAUUAGAUAUGAGAAAACCAUUUCAGAAGCCUGUGUUAAGGUGAGAUCUUUGGAACUUUGAUUAUCAAGGAGGAAGUGAGUGGCAAUUAGUGACAGAUGUAUAACUGAAGUAGAUUGAAAUAAAAAUCUCAAAAGUCAUUCAAGUGGAAAUGAUAGCUGAUGGCUCCCAUAUGGACACAUUGGCUCUUAGAUGAGAUAACAGUGCAUGCUGAGUAAGGUGAAACGUGUUUCGCUGAUGUGUCAUAAUGUUUUUGUGACUCUCUUGUUUUUUCAAGCAAUUGAAGACACGGCCUCAGUGUCUGAACACAAGGUGAUAUUCAUGUACUAUGCAUUUUAAGUAUUGCAGACCUGAGGCGGGGUGUGGUGGCUCACGCCUGUAAUCCCAGCACUUUAGGAGGUCAAGGCGGGCAGAUAACGAGGUCAGGA